UACAGUAUACAAAUACAUUUUGAUUUCAUAUAUAUAUAUAAAACACACACAUAUAAAAAAAAAUCUCGACAUUACAAUAUUGAGAUUUCUAUCAACUUAUCAUUUUCAUUUUUAAAUUUUUAGAUUAAAAAAAAACAACAUUAAAAUAUUCACAAAGUUAUAGAGUUUUAAAAGAUCAACAGUCUUUCAAUAUACAAAAUGUUAUUUCCCUUGUUAAAUGUCCACAUAUCAUGCCACAUGUGGUUUUCCUCAUUUUCUCGUAUAUUACAUACAUAUAUGUAUAAUGUUAAUACAAAUAAGUAGCACUAAGCUAAUUAUGUAUCGUAUGUUAUUUAAUUGUCAACAUUUAUUUUGUGCAUAUACCCUUUUUUUGUUUGUUAAUAAAUUUUAAAUACCUCUUCUUAAUUUACACAAACUUGAUGGUAAACAUCAGUCUGAAAUACAAUUUAUAAAAUUUUUUGUAAAGGUUUUUUUAAAGAUUUUUUUUCAUA